rnacentral:rRNA from 1 species
AACGAACGCUGGCGGCAGGCUUAACACAUGCAAGUCGAGCGCCCCGCAAGGGGAGCGGCAGACGGGUGAGUAACGCGUGGGAAUCUACCCAUCUCUACGGAAUAACGCAUGGAAACGUGUGCUAAUACCGUAUACGUCCUUCGGGAGAAAGAUUUAUCGGAGAUGGAUGAGCCCGCGUUGGAUUAGCUAGUUGGUGGGGUAAAGGCCUACCAAGGCGACGAUCCAUAGCUGGUCUGAGAGGAUGAUCAGCCACACUGGGACUGAGACACGGCCCAGACUCCUACGGGAGGCAGCAGUGGGGAAUAUUGGACAAUGGGCGCAAGCCUGAUCCAGCCAUGCCGAGUGAGUGAUGAAGGCCCUAAGGUUGUAAAGCUCUUUCACCGGUGAAGAUAAUGACGGUAACCGGAGAAGAAGCCCCGGCUAACUUCGUGCCAGCCGCCGCGGUAAGAC